rnacentral:rRNA from 1 species
UACGGAGGGGCUAGCGUUGUUCGGAAUUACUGGGCGUAAAGCGCACGUAGGCGGCUUUGUAAGUUAGAGGUGAAAGCCCGGGGCUCAACUCCGGAAUUGCCUUUAAGACUGACAUCGCUAGAAUUGUGGAGAGGUAAGUGGAAUUCCGAGUGUAGAGGUGAAAUUCGUAGAUAUUCGGAAGGAACACCAGUGGCGAAGGCGACUUACUGGACACAUAUUGACGCUGAGGUGCGAAAGCGUGGGGAGCAAACAGG